rnacentral:rRNA from 1 species
GAAACGACUGCUAAGACUGGAUAGGAAAUAAUGAGGCAUCUCGUUAUUUUUAAAAGACCUUCGCAAGAAGGUAUGCUUAAAGAGGGGCUUGCGCCACAUUAGUUUGUCGGUAAGGUAACGGCUUACCAAGACGAUGAUGUGUAGCUGGACUGAGAGGUUGAACAGCCACAUUGGGACUGAGACACGGCCCAAACCCCUACGGGAGGCAGCAGUAGGGAAUUUUCGGCAAUGGAGGAAACUCUGACCGAGCAACGCCGCGUGAACGAUGAAGUAUUUCGGUAUGUAAAGUUCUUUUAUUAAAGAAGAAACGCUAGUGGAAAAACUAGUUUGACGUUAUUUAAUGAAUAAGCCCCGGCAAACUAUGUGCCAGCAGCCGCGGUAAUACAUAGGGGGCGAGCGUUAUCCGGAAUUAUUGGGCGUAAAGGGUGCGUAGGCGGUUUAGUAAGUCUCUAGUUUAAAUUCAACGCUUAACGUUGUCCUGCUAGAGAAACUACUAGACUAGAGUAAGAUAGAGGCAAGCGGAAUUCCAUGUGUAGCGGUAAAAUGUGUAAAUAUAUGGAGGAACACCAGAGGCGUAGGCGGCUUGCUGGGUCUUUACUGACGCUGAGGCACGAAAGCGUGGGGAGCAAACAGGAUUAGAUACCCUGGUAGUCCACGCCGUAAACGAUGAGUACUAAGUGUCGGGGGUUUCCUCGGUACUGAAGUUAACACAUUAAGUACUCCGCCUGAGUAGUACGUACGCAAGUAUGAAACUUAAAGGAAUUGACGGGAUCCCGCACAAGCGGUGGAUCAUGUUGUUUAAUUCGAAGAUACACGAAAAACCUUACCAGGUCUUGACAUUAUUCUGCGAAGCUAUAGAAAUAUAGUGGAGGUUAUCAGAAUAACAGGUGGUGCAUGGUUGUCGUCAGCUCGUGUCGUGAGAUGUUAGGUUAAGUCCUAAAACGAGCGCAACCCUUGUCGUUAGUUACCAGCACGUUAUGGUGGGGACUUUAGCGAGACUGCCAAUGAAAAAAUUGGAGGAAGGUGAGGAUUACGUCAAAUCAUCAUGCCCCUUAUGAUCUGGGCUACAAACGUGAUACAAUGGCUAUUACAAAGAGCAGCUGAAACGUGAGUUGUUAGCUAAUCUCAAAAAAAUAGUCUCAGUUCGGAUUGAAGUCUGCAACUCGACUUCAUGAAGUUGGAAUCGCUAGUAAUCGCGAAUCAGCAUGUCGCGGUGAAUACGUUCACGGGGUUUGUACACACCGCCCGUCA